UCUAGAGCUAUACAUGCCACUAAGCCCUGACCCGCAAGGGGACGGGUGGAUUUAUUAGAACAGAACCAACCGGUUGUGGCUUCGGUCAUGGCCGUUGUACUCUGUGAUGACUCUGGAUAACUUUACUGAUCGCAGUCGGCCUUGUGUCGGCGACGGAUCUUUCAAAUGUCUGCCCUAUCAAUUGUCGAUGGUAGGUGACCUGCCUACCAUGGUGAUAACGGGUAACGGGGAAUCAGGGUUCGAUUCCGGAGAGGGAGCCUGAGAAACGGCUACCACUUCUAAGGAAGGCAGCAGGCACGCAAAUUACCCAAUCCCGGCACGGGGAGGUAGUGACGAUAAAUACGGAUACGGGACUCAAAAGAGGCUCCGUAAUUCGAAUGAGUACAAUUUAAAUCCUUUAACGAGGACCAACUGGAGGGCAAGUCUGGUGCCAGCAGCCGCGGUAACUCCAGCUCCAGAAGCGUAUAUUAAAGUUGUUGCAGUUAAAAAGCUCGUAGUUGGAUCUGGGUCGCAUGGCUACGCGCCGUUGCUUGUGAUCUCGGUUUGGUUACGACCGGAUUGAGUUCAUGAGUCGGUGUAGUGGUUGUGCAGCCUUUCUGCCGUGUCUGUUUUACAGGUGCUGGCGGAUUGUUGGGUUCGCCCUUCAGUCUGUCGGCAUGCUUCCGAAUGCCUUUAAACGGGUGUUGGGGGCGGACGGCACGUUUACUUUGAACAAAUUUGAGUGCUCAAAGCAGGCCCUUGUGCCUGAAAAGUCUUGCAUGGAAUAAUGGAAUAGGACUUCGGUUCUAUUUUGUUGGUUUUCGGAUCCGAAGUAAUGGUUAAGAGGGACAGACGGGGGCAUUUGUAUGGCGGUGUUAGAGGUGAAAUUCUUGGAUCGCCGCCAGACAAACUACAGCGAAAGCAUUUGCCAAGGAUGUUUUCAUUGAUCUGGAGCGAAAGUCAGAGGUUCGAAGACGAUCAGAUACCGUCCUAGUUCUGACCAUAAACGAUGCCAACUGACGAUCCGUGGCGGUUCUUUUCUUGACCCCACGGGCAGUCCCCGGGAAACCCUUAAGUCUU
rnacentral:rRNA from 1 species